rnacentral:rRNA from 1 species
UACGAAGGGGGCGAGCGUUGUUCGGAAUUACUGGGCGUAAAGGGCGCGCAGGCGGCCCUUGAAGUCAGGCGUGAAAGCCCCGGGCUCAACCUGGGAAUUGCAGUGGAUACUGGCAAGCUAGAGUGCGGUAGAGGAUGGUGGAAUUCCCGGUGUAGCGGUGAAAUGCGUAGAGAUCGGGAGGAACACCCGUGGCGAAGGCGGCCAUCUGGACCAGCACUGACGCUGAGGCACGAAAGCGUGGGGAGCAAACAGG